rnacentral:sRNA from 1 species
GAACGUUUGAAAGUUAUUAGGCAACUAAAAACACUCCUUCACCAAUGCAGAACAAUGAACGCUUUUCAGUAAUAGUUCUUGUACGAAGCGUAUCCAAACGCAAAAUAGCUUGAUAGAAGAAACUUUAGUUCUACCACAUUUGGAAAAGUCCUCUAGUUUAUCUUGAAAAUUUCACACUCCUACAACUUCAGAGCACAUGACACCAGAGAAGCCUUUAUCAAAGACACUAGAAUAUUCUAGUGUCUUUGCCUAUACAUAUGUAUGUCGUUAAAAACUCAUUUUCAAAUGCUUUCUUUCAAUCGUCGUGGGGGUGAAAAACAUGGUCAUUGUAUUCAGGUACACUGAUAUGAGCACUAAAAUACAUAUAUAUAUUUUAAAACUUCUGAUAUUAAACAUAAAGAAGUCUUCAGAAUUGAAAACUAGUCACGAUCGCAACACCAACAUAAAAUAGCUAAAAUUGCCACUAGCCGCCAGAUCACAUGACUUCCCGCAUUAAGCCGUUAAAAACAACCCAAGUAGAAACAAAACUUAAUUGGUAUCGCUUGUAGGUAUUCAUAAAAGGGUAUAAAUACAUAUAUAUGCACAUAUGAUGAUUUUUGGGAUAUUUACUUUCGAUCAUUUGCCAGUGUUGUCAGUGCAGUAUUUCCCAAAUUAAUUUCAGCUACAUACAUAAGGGAUUUUUCUGAGCCCCAAAAAGACUUUUUAUCCUUUUCUUUAUCGGUUUAUUAGAAUUUAUAUAUUUUAAGUAUAAUGUGUCUUGUAGUAAAUUCAAAGCCUGCCAAGCCCUCCUUGACGCCAACUGACUCAAAAAGAAGCUGGCAAAAACUCGUCAAAAGAACACCCAACAUCACGUACUACUAGUGUAUGCGAAUAUGUUUUUAAAUCGUGGUUUCCAAAAUCAAAAAUGCAAUAUCCUUCGGGCAAGCAAAAGUAUCUGCUGUUUACCUGGCAUUGAGAAUUCACUUCGCCCCUUUGAAAUGGCUCCG